AUUGAACGCUGGCGGCAUGCCUUACACAUGCAAGUCGAACGGCAGCACGGGAGCAAUCCUGGUGGCGAGUGGCGAACGGGUGAGUAAUAUAUCGGAACGUGCCCAGUCGUGGGGGAUAACGUAGCGAAAGCUACGCUAAUACCGCAUACGAUCUAUGGAUGAAAGCGGGGGAUCGCAAGACCUCGCGCGAUUGGAGCGGCCGAUAUCAGAUUAGGUAGUUGGUGAGGUAAAGGGCUCACCAAGCCGACGGAUCUGUAGCUGGUCUGAGAGGACGACCAGCCACACU
rnacentral:rRNA from 1 species